UACGGAGGGAGCUAGCGUUGUUCGGAAUUACUGGGCGUAAAGCGCGCGUAGGCGGCUUUGUAAGUUAGAGGUGAAAGCCCGGGGCUCAACUCCGGAACUGCCUUUAAGACUGCAUCGCUUGAAUCCGGGAGAGGUGAGUGGAAUUCCGAGUGUAGAGGUGAAAUUCGUAGAUAUUCGGAAGAACACCAGUGGCGAAGGCGGCUCACUGGACCGGUAUUGACGC
rnacentral:rRNA from 1 species